rnacentral:tRNA from 1 species
AGCCCUGUGGUGUAACUGGCAACAUCCUUCACUUUGAAUGAAGAGAGUCUAGGUUCGAGACCUAGCGGGGCUA